UGUCCUUGGCCGAUGGAAGAUUCUCCAGUUUGAAUUUGAAUUUCACCUCAGUAUUAGUGAUUUUUUUCUUGCGGUGCCAUUAAACUUGUCUCGCCUUUUUGGCAAGAUUUGGCAAGAAAAUUGCAGGGGGAGAAGGAGAAGUAAAACAAUGGGGGACAGAAAGAGAUAGAGGAGGGAGGUGGCGAGCGUAGGAGCAAAAAAGAGUUGCAGCGAUGGGCAGUGCACAGCGUGCGACAUCAGCUUUGCAGAUGACUUCUUCCUCCUCCGAUUAUGGCCUGCAACGGAACUUUCCAACCCAUUUCACGUGGCCAAAAGCAUAGAGACAAAUGAAUGCAUUUCAGUUGGAAGAGCGCCAUCAUUCCUCCAUGUUCAGAUUCUCCGAUUUGGAUGGUAGUAGUGAUGGUCGAGGGUCGAUGGAGUUCCCAAAGCUUUGUCGGAGUUGUAGGUGGGAAGGCUUCACUUUCCCGAUAGCGUGAAGCUUCCAUGAGUAGCCAUUAGUGCACACUAUAUUCCUCGGUGGUUCAGGGGUUAUCUUCACCAAUAAUCAACCAUCACAAGAACCUAUAGACAUUCAUAUAUGAUUAUGGAAUUCUAGAAUGUCUGAAGCUACUCUUCCAUGGCGAUAGAUUUCUUCCAGAUUCAAAAGCAAACAACUUCAACAUCAUAAACUUGGUUUUACAAGUGUGACUUGUGAGGGGUUUGAGAUACUGGGAAGUUCAUAAAUCUCAUGACCAUCAACAAGCAAGGAUGUCUCUCUCUCUCUCACUCAUUUUUUAUAUUUUCUUUUCUUUUCUGUACCUAAACAAACCCCGAGAAUACAAAGUUUUCAUUCAUUUUUAUUUCAUUUCAUUUCAUUUCAUUAAUUUCCUUUAUUUUUUUUUUCUAGAUUCUUUUUUCUUUUCUAUUCUUCUCCUCGCUACCAAACACAGUCUAAUAAGAGAUGCAAUCAUCUCGAGAUGAGCCCGAUCGGAAAGGUCUACCCUCCCGUCAACCGGUUCUUCCCCUCCAAAUGCCCAUGUAAACUGUCCGAAAUCAUUAGAUUGGGUACAAAGAUAAAAUAUGUUCAGCUUCAGCCUUAACCUUUUUUUUUUUGUUAAAAUUCAGCCUUAACCUACGCACUCGAAGUUUCAAAGUUCAAAUUCAAACUCUUUCAAAGUUCAAAUUCAAACUCUGGUACAAGGUGCAGAGACUGCAAAGUGCAAGGCUGCAGAAGUUUGAUCUGUACUCAUUAAUUAUAAUAAAGUAGAUAUAAUAUAAUAGGACAAGGACUGCCUUGUGAGGGUGGGCAUGCCUCGUGAGUCGUGAGUAGUCGUGAGUUGUGAGUCUUCAAUUAGUUUUUUUUGGUCGAAGUCUUCAAUCAGUAACUUACCUACGAGAUCAACACCGAAAAGGAAAUAAUAAAGAGGGCACACUGGAAACCCAUGUUCUUCUUUUUCCGAUUUUAAAACCCUAGAAUCGGACUAGACGAAUUUCGUCGUUUCUAGAACUUGCCUGCUAUCCCGUGAGCCUUCUGCAUCUCGUGAAAGUGAACUCUCAAAAACCCUCAAAAGCUCUGCCACCGGCUGCACUUUCGCACCGACCACUGUAGAUCUGUGAACACACGCUUCUCUUCUCAACCUCAAACGACUCCAUUUCCCUCUGCAACUCGAGAGAGGGAGAGAAGACGAGGAGAAACGGCAGGAUUGGAGAGGUUUUACUAGGGUUUUGGUUCCUCGCUGCUACAGGGUCAGUUUGUGGUUGCCUCUCCACUGUAAUUGUACUGGUCUCGGCAGCAUUUGAUUGAACAUCAUCAUUUGUGGGCAUCAUUUCACUCUUUAUGGAGAUCUUUUAAGUGCAUCUUUACCUAUAAUACUGUGAAAAAUGAUGCAAGAGAUGAGGUUAUCAGUUGAGCCGCAAAAAUAUAUAAAGUUAUGGAGGAAAGUCACCAACGAGAUCGGCGAUUUACCAGAUUGGAUGGGGUAAGUACACAACAAAAUUAUCUUCAUAGGAUUAUUUUGUAUUUUGUAUAAUGCGAUGACUCCCUAACCCUCUAUCAUUUGAAUCCACCUAUGUAUUGCUAUGUGUAGAUAGGAAGGGAUACACUUCACAAGGAAUAGUGGAGUAUAGUGUUUUUUCCCCCCCAAUUAUUUAUUUGCUUAUAUAUUCAUUUUCAAUAUGUUUAUAGAAGGAACAUAGUUCUAUUUUAUUUCUAGUUCUGAAAUGUAGUGCAAUAGUGUGUGUUUGCAUCAUACUCAAUUUAUUAAGUAUGUUGAUGAAGAGAACAAAUGUUUUUUGGUA